rnacentral:rRNA from 1 species
AGAGUUUGAUCAUGGCUCAGGACGAACGCUGGCGGCGUGCUUAACACAUGCAAGUGGUGCGACGAACCAGGGCUUGCCCUGGGGCAAAGCCGCGAACGGGUGAGUAACACGUGAGUAACCUGCCCCGAUGACCGGGACAACCCGAGGAAACUCGGGCUAAUACCGGAUGUGGCGCACAGGCAUCAGCCUGUUCGCUAAAGGAAGCUUCGGCCUCCGCAUUGGGAGGGGCUCGCGGCCCAUUAGCUAGUUGGUGAGGUAACGGCUCACCAAGGCCGCGAUGGGUAGCUGGUCUGAGAGGACGAUCAGCCACACUGGGACUGAGACACGGCCCAGACUCCUACGGGAGGCAGCAGUGGGGAAUCUUGCGCAAUGCGCGAAAGCGUGACGCAGCAACGCCGCGUGGGGGAAGAAGGCCUUCGGGUUGUAAACCCCUUUCAGGAGGGACGAAGGUGCGGCGGCGAAUAGCUUGCCGUACUGACGGUACCUCCACAAGAAGCCCCGGCUAACUACGUGCCAGCAGCGGCGGUAAUAC